AACGAACGCUGGCGGCAUGCCUAACACAUGCAAGUCGAACGAGACCUUCGGGUCUAGUGGCGCACGGGUGCGUAACGCGUGGGAAUCUGCCCUUGGGUUCGGAAUAACAGUCAGAAAUGACUGCUAAUACCGGAUAAUGUCUUCGGACCAAAGACUUAUCGCCCAGGGAUGAGCCCGCGUAGGAUUAGCUAGUUGGUGAGGUAAAGGCUCACCAAGGCGACGAUCCUUAGCUGGUCUGAGAGGAUGAUCAGCCACACUGGGACUGAGACACGGCCCAGACUCCUACGGGAGGCAGCAGUGGGGAAUAUUGGACAAUGGCGAAAGCCUGACGCAGCGACGCCGCGUGGGUGGAUGAAGGCCUCGUCGUAGGUACCGUACGUCGUCGACGGGA
rnacentral:rRNA from 1 species